GUGCUCGCUUUGGCAGCACAUUGGAAGGAUACAGAGAUUAGCAUGGCCUCUGCGCAAAGAUGACACGCAAAUUCGUGGAGCAUUCCAUAUUUAA
rnacentral:snRNA from 1 species